UGGGGAGUAUUGCGCAAUGGGGGCAACCCUGACGCAGCCAUGCCGCGUGUGUGAAGAAGGCCUUCGGGUUGUAAAGCACUUUCACUUGGGAAGAAAAGCUCGUCGUUAAUACCGGCGAGCCGUGACAUUACCUUGAGAAGAAGCACCGGCUAACUCCGUGCCAGCAGCCGCGGUAAUACGGAGGGUGCGAGCGUUAAUCGGAAUUACUGGGCGUAAAGCGCGCGUAGGUGGUUUGUUAAGUCGGAUGUGAAAGCCCCGGGCUCAACCUGGGAACUGCACCCGAUACUGGCCGACUGGAGUGCGAGAGAGGGAGGUAGAAUUCCGCGUGUAGCGGUGAAAUGCGUAGAUAUGUGGAGGAAUACCGGUGGCGAAGGCGGCCUCCUGGCUCGACACUGACGCUGAGGUGCGAAAGCGUGGGGAGCAAACAGGAUUAGAUACCCGUGUAGUCC
rnacentral:rRNA from 1 species